rnacentral:rRNA from 1 species
GUGGAUUAGAUACCCGGGUAGUCCUAGCAGUAAACGGUGCGCGUUUGGUGUAGGAGGAUUCGACCCCUUCUGUGCCGGAGCUAACGCGUUAAACGCGCCGCCUGGGGAGGACGGUCGCAAGAUUAAAACUCAAAGAAAUUGACGGGGGCCCGCACAAGCGGUGGAGUAUGUGGCUUAAUUCGAUGCAACGCGAAGAACCUUACCUGGGCUUGACAUGCAUCUCUAAGUCGGUGAAAGCCGGCGAGUGGAGCAAUCCACAAUUUGCACAGGUGCUGCACGGUUGUCGUCAACU